rnacentral:rRNA from 1 species
GUUUCCUACGGGAGGCAGCAGUGGGGAAUAUUGCACAAUGGGCGAAAGCCUGAUGCAGCAACGCCGCGUGAGCGAUGAAGGCCUUCGGGUCGUAAAGCUCUGUCCUCAAGGAAGAUAAUGACGGUACUUGAGGAGGAAGCCCCGGCUAACUACGUGCCAGCAGCCGCGGUAAUACGUAGGGGGCUAACGUUAUCCGGAAUUACUGGGCGUAAAGGGUGCGUAGGUGGUUUCUUAAGUCAGAGGUGAAAGGCUACGGCUCAACCGAAGUAAGCCUUCGAAACUGGGGUACUUGAGUGAAGGAGAGG